CAGCAUCCUCAUGAGAUCACAGUGGCCAGGAGAGGAGAGGAAAAAACCAGAUCACAGCAGGCUGUGUGUGCAGAUGGUAGAUGCAAGUAUAGCCUGGCACCCCAAAUUCAAUGGUGAGCCUUCAUAGUCCAGUAGCCGUCACAGGAUGAGGGCAGAGUAGAGAGAAGAGUUGGACUAGGCAGCAACUGAUGGGCAAAGCAGCAGUAGAACAGCUGAGAAGAGAAUACAGAAGAAGAGAGGAAGAAUAGGAGGAAGCACCAAGCACUUGGAGAGGAAGAGAGAAGGUACCGUAUUUUUUGCACCAUAACACUCACUUUUUCCUCCUAGAAAGUAAGGGGAAAUGUCUGCGCGUGUUAUGGAGGGAAUGCCUACGGGUGGCAUGCCUACGGAUUUUCCUCCUCUAAAAACUACGUGCGUGUUAUGGUCGGGUGCGUGUUAUAGAGCGAAAAAUAGGGUAAUUUGGACAGGAGUAGCAAUGCUCACCUGUACUUGUCCCUCUGACAGUCACCCAGAGGUUUUUUUACAAACAUUAUUUUAAUCAUCCUUUUCAUUUCAUUGUAUAUCAUUACCCCGUACUGGGAAAUGAUCCACACCAUCCUCUUCAAGCACCCUUCCACUUUAGCAGUCACAGCUUCCCCCAAAGAAACCCGGGUUCCUUGAAGCACCCUAAAAAAGGACAGUUCCCAGAAUUCUUUGGGAUGACUGUUAGAGUGGUAUAAUAGUGCUUCGUAUGUAUGGUCUGAAUGUGACCCAGUAAUAUCCUUUGAUCCCAGUCUGCAUGGAGAACGAUCAAAGAUGAUGGGAGCUAUGAUCCAACAACAUCUAGAAGGUCAUAAAUUAGUAAUCCCUGUUCUAAAAUGACAUCCAGGGUAUUUGUUUAGAUGAGCAUUUUGCUGCCAAUCAAAAUCUUUAAAAUAGCUAGUCUUUAAAGUACCAAGGCACUCUUUGUCAUUUUUGAUAACAUCCAACUAACAGGACCACUCUUCUGGAAUACUGUCAAAUGAUCACCCAACUUUUUUUCUCUUUUUCCGCAGGUUUCAGCAACACACUUGUGCGUGCAGUGACAUCUAGUGACAAAGAACACAAAUGGGACUUAGGGAAAUUUCGGUGGAGAAUUAUCAUCUAUGAUUUUUUUAAAAGCCAAAAUUCAACUAUAAUCUCUUUCUCUCUCUCUCUCUCUCUCUCUCUCUCUCUCUCACACACACACACACACACACACACACGGUGUCUCCAGCAACAUUUUGGAAAGCCUGCAUAUAAAUUUUCAAGGUUUACUUCUGUUUUAAAAAGAGGCUGAUUGGCCACCUAUUCAGGCAUGUUCUCUGGUCCUGGAUUUC